rnacentral:ncRNA from 1 species
UAAAAAUUUAAUUUUAGUUUAAUAAUUAAUGAAUUUUUUUUAUAAAUUAUUAAUAUUUUUAAUUUAUUUAUAUUAUAUAUAAAUAUGUGUGUUAAUUGAAUUUUGAAAAUUUAAUAAUUUUAAUAUUUAAUUUUAAAUAUUAAUGAAAAUUAUAUUUAGAAUAAAAUUUAAUUAAUAAUUAAAAUUGUGCCAGCAAUUGCGGUUAAACAAUUAUUGAAAAUUAAUUUAUUUAAUUUGAAUUAAGAUAUUUAUAUAUUAUUUAAAAAUAAUAUAAAUUUUAGGUUAAAUUAAAAUUUAUAUUUAAAUUUAAUUUUUUUAAUGAUGAUUUUAUAAAUUUUUUUAGAAACUAGGAUUAGAUACCCUAUUAUUAAAAUUAAAAUAUAAAAAUUUAGGUAUUAAAUGUUAAGUCACUAAACUUAAAAAAUUUGGCGGUUUAUAAUUCUAAUUAGAGGAAUUUGUUUAUUAAUUGAUAUUACACGUUAAGAAAAACUUUAAUUUUAAGUUUAUAUAUUGCUGUUAUAAAAAAAUUUAAUUUUAAUAUUUUUUAAAUUUAAUAUUUAUUUAUAUAUAAAAAAAUUCAGGUCAAAAUAUAGCUUUAUUUAAGUUUAAAUGAGUUACAAUUAAAAUUUAAUUAUUGGAUUAUUUAAUUUAAUUUUAAUUAUAAAAUUGGAUUUAAAAGUAAAUUUAAUUAAUUUAUUAAAUUGAAAUAGUUUUUAUAUAUGUACAUAUUGCCCGUCAUUUUCAUUAUAAAGUGAAACAAGUCGUAACAAAGUAAAUGUACUGGAAAGUGUAUUUAGAUU